UGUACUCUUCUCUUCAACAUGGUGAUGUUUGUGUCUAUGAAACCAUGAGAGGCUCUGAAGAUGUUCGGAAUGGGGGACCUGGAAGUCCGUACCAGAACAUUCAAUUGCACUGACCCCAAAUCAGGUUCAAACUCUUGACAGAAGCAAAAAACACGAGGAUCCAUCAGCGAGCUCCGACUGCUACAGUAUCAGUCAAGAACCAGCCACAAACACUGUGUGAUCCAUCAGAGACACUCAACGACCGAAUGGAAACCAAUAAAAAGUUGCUGGUCAUUAAAAUAUUAUGACGAUUCAGAU